rnacentral:misc_RNA from 1 species
UACAGAGGGUGCAAGCGUUGUUCGGAAUUAUUGGGCGUAAAGGGCGCGUAGGCGGCAUUAUAAGUCAGAUGUGAAAGCCCAUGGCUCAACCAUGGAAGUGCAUCCGAAACUAUAGAGCUAGAGUCUUGGAGAGGGUGGUGGAAUUCCCGGUGUAGAGGUGAAAUUCGUAGAUAUCGGGAGGAACAUCAGUGGCGAAGGCGACCACCUGGCUGAAGACUGACGCUGAGGCGCGAAAGCGUGGGGAUCAAACAGG